rnacentral:misc_RNA from 1 species
CCGAGUGUGAAACCCCCCGUAAAAAGGGGGGUUACCUCCCGUCCUUUGCUGGGCACCCCCUUCCAAUCGGAUAGGGGUUGUUUUCAGACCCUUCUGCUUCGGCGGGGUAACCCGCCGGAACAACCUCAAAAUAUUCUCAAUUCAAAACCGUUCAGUCCGAGAAACUUUUUUUGAAAAGCGAAA